CAGCAGCCACGGUAAUACGUAGGGUGCGAGCGUUAAUCGGAAUUACUGGGCGUAAAGCGUGCGCAGGCGGUUUCGUAAGACAGGCGUGAAAUCCCCGGGCUCAACCUGGGAAUGGCGCUUGUGACUGCAAAGCUAGAGUGCGGCAGAGGGGGAUGGAAUUCCGCGUGUAGCAGUGAAAUGCGUAGAUAUGCGGAGGAACACCAAUGGUGAAGGCAAUCCCCUGGGCCUGCACUGACGCUCAUGCACGAAAGCGUGGGGAGCAAACAGGAUUAGAUACCCCAGUAGUCCCUGUCUCUUAUAC
rnacentral:rRNA from 1 species